UAUAUAUAUAUUUAUAAGAAAACGAUGUUAAUAAGACAUAUUUAAUAUGAAAACUUUGUAUUUUCGACAUUAUAUUGUUACUUUGAAAUGAACAAAUUUCACGAUUUUUUAAUCUACGGAAGACAAAACGGGACAUAAUUUACGUCGUGAAUAUGCAUUAUUUUAUUAUAACAAUGUAUUUUAUUGUUCUGGUCGGGGACCAUCAAACGAACACUUUUUGAACAAUUUUCCGUACAAAUUUCAUAAUUUCUAACCUAGAGACCUUAAAAUUUGAUACAGUUCAGCUAGGUUCUUCUCCUAACUUACAAACUGGUUUGUUUAUUUCUGAUUGUAUUGACACUUAUAUCUGAGGCUCUACAAGGAGGGUAUCAAAAUUACCUAAAUUGUCUACACUACAGUACCAUGUGUCCAGACAGAUAUGUACAUCACAUGAUUUAAUUAAGAUAAAAGCUUGGGGUGUUUUGAUUUUAGAUUUUUAACAUGAUAUACAAUAUUUCAGCAACAAAUGCUGAAGUUUUGGAUAUUCUAUUGUUUACUCUGCAAAUGAUUAUAGCUGGUAUAUGAGGUCAGGCAAUGCUUUCUUGACCCCCAAAUUUCAACGUCAACAUUCUAGAAAUAGACAAUAAAAAUAUUACCAUUUACGUAGGUUGAAAUAAAUUUAUUUACUUAAUUUUAGAAGAAACAUGCAUUUAUUGUUGAUGAAAAAGUGACUGACAACCACUGAACAAAGAAAAUACUAAAUAAAGCAUUUUCGGGGCCGUCCGGGUUUGGUGGUUGUCUGGUUUUGGUGGUCCCAAACCAGUAUAUAAAACAAUAUUCAGAUUUACAUGUACAUAUAUAUAAAUUUAUAUUUAGAUAUAUAUUUUGCAUUAUUAAACAUGUAAAUGUACAUAAAUAAAAUCAAUACUUAAUUUCAGAUAGGACAUCCAUGAUUUACAUUCAUGAUGAUUAUCUAAUGUUCAGCUGUCUCUUGUAUCAAGAUGAUACAAGCCACAUUACCAAACCAUGCUGAUGGAACAAACAACGAUAUGAAGGGCGUUGCAUUUCGAUUCUACAACGUGCGUAUUUUGUGCGCAGGAUAUCCAGAAUUGGUCCCAAUUGUCACUCUCAGAGAGAAGGGAAGCAACCGUGUUAACCAUGCUAGCGAUCUGAGUAAUUCACGAACAAUUACAGGCCAAAUUGUGCACCAAGACUGUAGAAAGGAUUUUAUUCACAAUAGAAACAUUUCAAAUAGUUCCAAUGUUAAGUGUGACCAAGUUAAAAGACCUUUAAGAUCAAAUGCUAACUUUGCUUUUAAGUGUAAUUGCUUGUUCUGUGGUAAGCCUGCUAAAGUUGCAUCUGGUAAACGUAGAUGUUCAUCCUGGUAGAAGUUUUGAUUGUCAGGAAACACAUCCUCGGAACCCACGGUACACAUUCCGUAUAUACUACAUUUUAUAUUAUUACCGAUACAUGUAUACGGUAAAUAGCCUGGGUUACCGAGGAUGCAGGAAACAAUACAACUCAAAUGUUCUGAGAGAAACAAUCUGUGGGGAAAUGUUGUUUUAAACAGACUGUUGUCAGUUUUAGAUUU